UACGGGGGGGGCAAGCGUUUGUUCGGAAUUACUGGGCGUAAAGGGCUCGUAGGCGGCCAACUAAGUCAGACGUGAAAUCCCCAGGCUCAACCUGGGAACUGCGUCUGAUACUGGAUGGCUUGAAUUCGGGAGAGGGAUGCAGAAUUCCAGGUGUAGCGGUGAAAUGCGUAGAUAUCUGGAGGAAUACCGGUGGCGAAGGCGGCAUCCUGGACCGACAUUGACGCUGAUGAGCGAAAAGCUAGGGGAGCAAACGGG
rnacentral:rRNA from 1 species